GUGCCAGCCGCCGCGGUAAUACGGAGGGUGCAAGCGUUGUCCGGAAUCACUGGGCGUAAAGGGUGCGCAGGCGGCUAAUUAAGUCUGAUGUUAAAGCGUGGGGCUCAACCCCAUCAGGGCGUUGGAUACUGAUCAGCUAGACGGAUGGAGAGGGAGGUAGAAUUACCAGAGUAGCGGUGGAAUGCGUAGAUACUGGUAGGAAUACCCAUAGCGAAGGCAGCCUUCUGGACAUUUUGUGACGCUGAGGCGCGAAAGUGUGGGGAGCAAACCGGAUUAGAAACCCGUGUAGUCC
rnacentral:rRNA from 1 species